rnacentral:tRNA from 1 species
GUUCUAAUAGUUUAAAAAAAAUUUUGGUCUUGUAAACCAAAGAUAAAGUCAAUUUUUAGAACU